rnacentral:tRNA from 1 species
UGCCCCGUAGCUCAAUGGACUUAGAGCGUCGCUCUCCGAAGGCGAAGGUUACGAGUUCGACCCUCGUCGGGACAA